GUAAAUAUAGUUUAAAAAAAAACAUUAGAUUGUGAAUCUGACAACAGAAGCCUACAACUUCUUAUUUACC
rnacentral:tRNA from 2 species